GAGCUUCUAAUAGUGCUGGGCCAAGGCUCUGCCGUGGUCUGAGGGGCCCUCGGCAAUUCUGGCCCUCAGCCUGGCCUGGUGUAGUGGAAUAAUGAUGAUUAUAUUAGGGUGACGUUUACAACAUUGUUUUCAUAGGUCCAAAUGUCAGAUAUUGGCAGUUUCAUAAGGUUCGACCUAAUAAUAACUAAUUCUUAGCACUUUUAAUGUAGCAGGCACUAAUCUAAACGCUUAUUUGUGUUGGGGCGCCUGGAUGGCUCAGUCAGUUAAGUGUCUGACUUUAGCUCAAGUCGUGAUCUCACAGUUCGUGAGUUUGAGCCCCGAAUCAGGCUCAGUGCCAAUGGUGCAGAGCCUGCUUGGGAUAUUCAUUCUCUCUCUCUCUUCCCCCCUCUCCGCGCCCCCCGCCCCUUCCCUGUGCAUGCUCACUCUGUCUCUCUCUCUCUCUCAAAAUAAAUAUAUAAACUUUAAAAAAUAAAUUUAAAAAAAAUCUUAAAAUAAAUAAUAAACAAAUAAAUCCUUAUUUGUGUUUAAUUCAUUUAAUCCUUGCAAUAGUCCCACAGAGUAGGUCAUAAUAACUACCCCCAUUUUACAAAUGAGCAAACUGAGUCACAGCAAGAUUAAGUAACUGGCUCAAGGUCACCCAGGGAGUUAGACACCCAGCAUCGUGCCCCACACGUGGAUUGUGCUCUGUUGCCUCUACCCUGGGGCCUGGCCAGACACCUCCUGGGGCAUUUGAGCUGAAUUCACAUAGCAGUACUCCAGGAUCCCGGGCAAGGAUCUUCAUCCUCCCCCUCCUCCCCCUUUCCCCUCCUGCUUCCUGGGCUUCCUCUGCCCUCUACCACCCCUCACCUUUCAUUGAUAAUUGCUCACAGGCUUUCUUCUCAUGAAGUAAACGUUUAACAAAAGAUUGGUUGUUUUAAAACUGAGAAAGAAGUCCUCUAAGGUCCUCCUUUUGGUCUACUAUUCUGGCUCCUGGGUUUUUUUCCUUCCACUGCCAGAAGGGCCUUCGGCCUCCUCAUUCCUUUCCAUGCCCUCCUUCCCAGGAGGAAACUAAGGCACUUGCCUCUGUGGGAAGGUGGAGUCCGAAAGACCACCACACCUGGAGGCAACAGGGAGUUCUGGACACUUGUACACGUUGCUGGAGCCCGGUUGGGGGGUUGGGGGGGUCUGGGCCUCUGUCUGGGAAGUCCUGGAGCUCCGCCCAGGCCCUGAGAGAGCCCCCAGGCUUAGGAGCCACUUGCGCUCUAGGGGCUCAAUGUCAGACUCUGGAGGGGCUGGGGAGGAGGGACUCCACGCAAACCAGGUUUUUAAAAAAGUAUCCUCUCUCUUUUACUUUGCAAUAAUUUUUAUACUUACAAAAUGUUGCAGAAAUAGUAGAGUUCCCAAAUAGCCUACCCAUAUCCACUUAAUGUUUACAUCUUAUAUUCCGUACUGUGAUUAACCAACCAGGACGUUCAGGUCGAUAAAAUAUUAGCAAUCUACAGACUUUAUUUGAAUUUGACCAGUCUUCCCAUUAAUGUCCUUUUCUGGAUGAGGAUCCAAUUCAGGAUCCUAACCUGGGACAAUUCCUCCGUCUUUGUCUUCCAGGACAAAAUUUUCAAAACUCUUGGAGAGUACGGAUUCGUUAUUUUGUAGACUGUCCUUUAACUUGGGGUUGUCUAAUGUUUUCUUAUGACGAAACUGAGGGUCAUGCCUUUUGGGGAAGAAACCACAGAGGUGAUGUCUAUAUGAGGAGGUAGCUGGUGUUGGCAGGUCUCAUUCCUGCCGCCUUCGAUCGCUUGACUCGGGGGUCUCCUGAGUCUCUCCCCAGUGAAGUUACUAUUUUCCCUUUGGUAAUUGGUAAGUAUCUUUUGUAGAGACAGUCUGAGACUAUGCAAUUCUGAUGUUUCUCAUCAUUCGUUCACCCACUUUUUAACAUUCAUGAAUGGCUCUUGCCUGUAACAGUCAUUACUGUGAUGUUUGCCUAAUUGUGAUUUUCUAUUUUCACUGCUUCUAUAUUUAUUAAUUGCUAUUCUAACCUAAGGGAGAGCUGUCCUUUCUCUCCCGUUUAUGUAUUCAUGUAUCUAUUUAUAUCAGUAUAGAUUCACAGGUAUUUAUUUCAUGGGUUAUCUGACAUUGUCAUUAUUUUGCUGUUCAGGUUGUCCCAGCUUUGGCCCUUGGGUUCUCCUUCAAGUUGUCUCCUAUGUCUUUUUGAUCCCAUCAUGUUUACCUUUUUUAAAAAUGUUUGUUUGUUUGUUUGUUUGUUUGUUUUGAGAGAGCACGAGCCAGAGAGGGGCAGGGGACAAAGAGAGAGAGAGGGAGAGAGAGAGAGAGAGUGAGGGAGAGAAAAUUUGAGCAGAGGAGGAACAGAGAGAGAGGGAGAGAGAGAGAAUCCCAAGCAGGCUCUGAGCUGUCAGCACAGAGCCCAACACAGGGCUGAAACUCAUGAACCGUGAGAUCAUGACCUGAGCCAAAAUUAAGAGUUGGAGGCUUAACUGACAGAGCUACCCAGGCACCCCUGAUCCCAUCAUUUUUAAAGCACUUCCUUACUUUCUGGUGCCAUGAGAUGCUCCCAGCUUAUAUUUUCUUUGCCUUACCUUGGAAUCAACCAUUCUCCAAGGAGCCCUGGUUAAGCCAGUUUUUUUGCCACUAAAAAAUAUUCAGAAGUAUCAUGAUAACUUUGGAAAUAAGAUUGUAGGAAAGCAUUUAUGUGAAGUUCGAACUUAUGAUGUCAGGUCACUGGUUGUAGACGGAGUAUUGACUGAGCAGGAACAUGAAUCUUCUGGGUGGUGGUUACAUAUGUAAAAAUUGUCCAGCUGUAUACUUAAGAUUUGCGUAGUUACUGUGUACAAGUUAUGCCUCACUGAAAAAAACAAAAAAGAUUGACAACAGAGUGCGUGAUAGGACGAGAGCACAUGGUUCAGUUUGCUGCAAGGUCACCAGCGAAAGGUGAAAGUGCAUUAACACUAAAUACAACUAAAUACAACCAAUACACUAAAAUCUCCAUACUAAGUAGACAGUUGACUGUGUAAAAAUCACCCAAAACAAAAUGGGUAAAUGAGUCCUUUCUCACAUAGGAAUCUUGGUAUUGAGUGAGGAUCUUGAUGUUAUUUGCAUCGUGGGGGCUAGAAGGGCAAAGGGUGACCCUAGGAUUCAGGGCUGCUGGCUGUAGGGGUAGUGGCCGUGCUAGAGGCUGUGUGAUGCCGACCGAGGGUGUUGGGGAUGGGAGCAGUGACGGUGGGAAACUGGCAAAGGGGAAGCUUCAGUGGUGGUCAGAGAGAGCGAGAUCUGCCUUGGAUGUGAGCGCCCUAAUCAGAACCGGCAGGUCUCCUAUGUGGCUGUGCACCUGCUGAGGGAGGGAUUGGGGCUUCUCUCCCCAGCCGUGAGCCUAGAGAGAGUUCUGUCUGCCCAAGAGUUCUGUCUGCCUGUCCGCAUCUCUUAUAGCUGCCAUAGGCACUUGAAGGAGAAGGUGAGCACAGGGGACUGUCUGGGGACCUAGGCUGAGCAGGUAAGAGCUGGGAGGCCUGCUGUCCCACUCAGCCCUUCCCAGCGCCUGCCCCUGGCCCGCGCUUUGCUGGGUGCCAUCUCCCUGGCGGUGAGGAGCAGCCCUGCCAGGGUAAGAGGUUGAGGGGUGGGGGGAGGGAAGAGGCAGAGAGAAGGCAGUGUGGCCGGAGUGUCACAGGGUGAGGGGUGGUGCCGCAAGACCUGAUUGUGGAGAAGCCUGUGGAGAGAUUGGGCUUGACCCUCAAUUGGGGAGGAACUUUCACCCCCAUCCCUUGUUGGACCAACAGCCUCCGUCCUAAAGCCUGGCCAGGGAUGUCUGGGCCUUGACCCGUGCUGCUAGCUCUUUGGAGAUGGAAUGAAGAGGGGUGCCUUGGUCCCACCCCACAAGGCCAGCAGAGUGAACUAGGGAAUCACAGGGGUGUACACGCCACUGUGAAGUGGCAGAAUCAUAGCAGUGACAGUGGACUCUCCCGUCCUCUGGCCAAGGCUGAACCUGGCACGUUAAGUGAGCCUGGAGAGCCACAGAAUUUGGUCGCCGGAAGACAUCUUUAUUCCUGACACCCAGUGGCAGAAACACCAUCAGGGCAGGCUGUGGGCGUCGGACUCUGGGGGAGACUUCCCAGAGCAGGCGCAUGUCAAACCCAGAAGGGCAGGAGAUCGUUGAGUGAGUUCUGUGCGUGAGGGAACGUGGGCCGGUGCACCACCCCGUAAUCACAACCAAAACCAAAGGAGUUGCCGGGGUGAAGGAGUGGAGCACCUCAAAAAUCAGAACUUCAGUGUGCAUUGGAAGGAUAUGAGCUAUGCUGAAAUGUGGGUAUUCAGGAAAAAACGUGCGCAGAGCACUUGUACAGGCCCGCGGUGGUUCCCAGUGGUGGGGGCAGCCUCCUGGAGAACCGGAGGUGAGUAACGUCGUCUCUGAGCACUCUGGGGACACCUGGUAACUAUGGACAAAGAGGACAAGUAGGUUCCCAGCAGCGGUGGCGUGCACGGGACCUUUGAUCUGAUUUGCUCCGUCAGCGUCAGUGACCUGGAGCAGCCAGCGACACAAGAAGAAGUGAAUGUAGCAGAGCAAGUCCAGGUUCAGGGGAGCCACCCUGAGGACACAGUGGCCGUGGCCUUCGCACCCACCCUCCAUACUGCAGCACGGCCACCCUUACUGGCCUGUCCAUUACGGUCAAGCUCUUGUGAUCCCUGCCCCAGCUUUUCACGAUGGACGUACACUUUGCACCGGGGUUUCGUUCCUUGGAGCUCACGGUGUGCAAGCGACAAGAACUGGGUGGCGGCUACCCCGGAGAACACCCAUCUGCCGGGGGUUGUAAACCGGUGACUUGUGGCCAGCUCCUGAGCCUGGCGGCGUCUGGCCUCCAGCCCCACCCAGGAUGAGCUCCUGGCUUUGUUUUCUUGAAUCUCUGAUGAUGAGAAACUAACAUGUUGUAUUUUGUAAUAAACUCAUAAUUUAUAUUAAAAAA